UUAACCCUUAAUUUUUUAAUCUGUUGCUAAACACACUCUUAAUACAGUAGAACCGAGGGCAAUCUCGCACCAGGAACAAUAAGGUGGAUACUAAAUCAUAACAAUGAUAGAUUGAAGUUUUUGGUAGGUCGUAAUACAAUAUAAUGCAAUCAAAUUUUUUUGUUAAAAUUCAAUAGAAAAUUUAAUUAUAUUGCAUAUGGCUUAUAUCAAACAUAGAAGUGCAUAAAUGAAAGGAGUUUAAAAUUAAAAAUGAAUAAAUAAAGAAUAAAAAAGAAA
rnacentral:misc_RNA from 1 species